UCAAGUGAAGAAGCGCAUACGGUGGAUGCCUUGGCAGUCAGAGGCGAUGAAAGACGUGGUAGCCUGCGAAAAGCUUCGGGGAGUCGGCAAACAGACUUUGAUCCGGAGAUGUCUGAAUGGGGGAACCCAGCCAUCAUAAGAUGGUUAUCUUGUACUGAAUACAUAGGUGCAAGAGGCGAACCAGGGGAACUGAAACAUCUAAGUACCCUGAGGAAAAGAAAUCAACCGAGAUUCCCUUAGUAGUGGCGAGCGAACGGGGACUAGCCCUUAAGUGGCUUUGAGAUUAGCGGAACGCUCUGGAAAGUGCGGCCAUAGUGGGUGAUAGCCCUGUACGCGAAAAUCUCUUAGUCAUGAAAUCGAGUAGGACGGAGCACGAGAAACUUUGUCUGAAUAUGGGGGGACCAUCCUCCAAGGCUAAAUACUACUGACUGACCGAUAGUGAACUAGUACCGUGAGGGAAAGGCGAAAAGAACCCCGGAGAGGGGAGUGAAAUAGAUCCUGAAACCGUAUGCGUACAAGCAGUGGGAGCAGACUUUGUUCUGUGACUGCGUACCUUUUGUAUAAUGGGUCAGCGACUUAUUUUCAGUGGCGAGCUUAACCGAAUAGGGGAGGCGUAGCGAAAGCGAGUCUUAAUAGGGCGUCUAGUCGCUGGGAAUAGACCCGAAACCGGGCGAUCUAUCCAUGGGCAGGUUGAAGGUUGGGUAACACUAACUGGAGGACCGAACCGACUACCGUUGAAAAGUUAGCGGAUGACCUGUGGAUCGGAGUGAAAGGCUAAUCAAGCUCGGAGAUAGCUGGUUCUCCUCGAAAGCUAUUUAGGUAGCGCCUCAUGUAUCACUGUAGGGGGUAGAGCACUGUUUCGGCUAGGGGGUCAUCCCGACUUACCAAACCGAUGCAAACUCCGAAUACCUACAAGUGCCGAGCAUGGGAGACACACGGCGGGUGCUAACGUCCGUCGUGAAAAGGGAAACAACCCAGACCGUCAGCUAAGGUCCCAAAGUUAUGGUUAAGUGGGAAACGAUGUGGGAAGGCUUAGACAGCUAGGAGGUUGGCUUAGAAGCAGCCACCCUUUAAAGAAAGCGUAAUAGCUCACUAGUCGAGUCGGCCUGCGCGGAAGAUGUAACGGGGCUCAAACCAUACACCGAAGCUACGGGUAUCAUCUUCGGAUGAUGCGGUAGAGGAGCGUUCUGUAAGCCUGUGAAGGUGAGUUGAGAAGCUUGCUGGAGGUAUCAGAAGUGCGAAUGCUGACAUGAGUAACGACAAUGGGUGUGAAAAACACCCACGCCGAAAGACCAAGGUUUCCUGCGCAACGUUAAUCGACGCAGGGUUAGUCGGUCCCUAAGGCGAGGCUGAAAAGCGUAGUCGAUGGAAAACAGGUUAAUAUUCCUGUACUUCUGGUUAUUGCGAUGGAGGGACGGAGAAGGCUAGGCCAGCUUGGCGUUGGUUGUCCAAGUUUAAGGUGGUAGGCUGAGAUCUUAGGUAAAUCCGGGAUCUUAAGGCCGAGAGCUGAUGACGAGUUACCCUUUGGGUGACGAAGUGGUUGAUGCCAUGCUUCCAAGAAAAGCUUCUAAGCUUCAGGUAACCAGGAACCGUACCCCAAACCGACACAGGUGGUUGGGUAGAGAAUACCAAGGCGCUUGAGAGAACUCGGGUGAAGGAACUAGGCAAAAUGGCACCGUAACUUCGGGAGAAGGUGCGCCGGUGAGGGUGAAGGACUUGCUCCGUAAGCUCAUGCCGGUCGAAGAUACCAGGCCGCUGCGACUGUUUAUUAAAAACACAGCACUCUGCAAACACGAAAGUGGACGUAUAGGGUGUGACGCCUGCCCGGUGCCGGAAGGUUAAUUGAUGGGGUUAGCUAACGCGAAGCUCUUGAUCGAAGCCCCGGUAAACGGCGGCCGUAACUAUAACGGUCCUAAGGUAGCGAAAUUCCUUGUCGGGUAAGUUCCGACCUGCACGAAUGGCGUAACGAUGGCGGCGCUGUCUCCACCCGAGACUCAGUGAAAUUGAAAUCGCUGUGAAGAUGCAGUGUAUCCGCGGCUAGACGGAAAGACCC
rnacentral:rRNA from 1 species